rnacentral:rRNA from 1 species
UGAGUUUGAUCCUGGCUCAGGAUGAACGCUUGCAGCAAGCUUUACACAUGCGAGUCGAAUGGUGUUUUACCAUGGCGAACGGGUGAGUAAUACACGGAAGAUUCUGCCUUAAAACAAGGGACUUUAUUCUUAUCGAACUGUAUAAGAAAAAUAAUCCUUUUAAUAGAGCUUUGCUCGUUUUAAGAUGAGUUCGUGCACGAUUAGGUUGUUGGUAAGGUCACAGCUUACCAAGCCGACGAUCGUUAGCUGGUCUGAGAGGUUGAUCAGCCACACUGGGACUGAGACAAGGCCCAGGCUUCGUUAGAAGCCAGCAGUGAGGAAUUUUGGACAAUGAGCGAAAGCUUGAUCCAGCUAUGCUGCGUGAGUGAAGAAGGCUCCAUGAGGUUGUAAAACUCAAAUUUCGAUGAUUAUAAUGACUGUAGUCGAAUAAAAAGCCCCGGCCAACAUUCGUGCCAGCAGCCGCGGUUAUACGGAGGGGGCGAGCGUUAUCCAAAUUUACUGGGCGUAAAGAGUUCGUAGGCGGGUUAAUCUCGUUGCUGGGGAAAUACUAGGAUUUUCUCUUAGGGGAUCCAGUAAUACAUUUAACCUAGAGUGUGGGAGAGGAAAGCGGAAUUUUGCAAGGAGGGGUAAAAUCUGUAGAUAUGCGAAGGAAGAUCAGUGGCGAAGGCGGCUUUCUGGACCAUUACUGACGCUGAGGAACGAAAGUACGGGUAGCAAACAGGAUUAGAUACCCUGGUAGUCCGUACCGUAAAUUAUGAGUGCUCCAUUUGAGAUAGUAUAUUUCAAAUAGCGAUGGGAAACCUAAAGCACUCCGCCUGAAGAGUACGAUCGCAAGGUUGAAAUUCAAAGGAACUGACGGGGGCUCUUACAAGUGGUGGAGUAUGUGGUUUAAUGCGAGAAUACGCGUCCAACCUUACCAGUUCUUGCAAUGUAAGGGGAAAUAGAGCUUUAGCUCUAGCGAAUGCCUUGGUUUUAGGUGGAAGGCACUUACACAGGUGUUGCAUGGCUGUCGUCAGCUCCGUGUCGUAAGAUGUUUGGUUAACUCCCUUAACGAGCGUAACCUCUGUUGGUGGUUGCUAGGAAUUUAGGUUAUUCAAUAUAGUCUAAGUUUUGCACUCCACCAAGACUACCAAAUAUACUUUUUUAUUUGGGGGAAGGGGGAGAUGAUGUCAAGUCCUUAUGGCCCUAAUGAACUGGGCUACACACAUGCUACAAUGGUAAAAACAAAGGGUGACAAAAGAGUAAUCUAGAGUUAAUCCCCAACUUUUAUCGAAGUUCGGAUUGAGGACUGCAACUCGUCCUCAUAAAGGAGGAAUCACUAGUAAUCGUGGAUCAGGACGCCACGGUGAAUUUGUACCAGGGCCUUGUACACACCGCCCGUCACAUGCUGGAAGUUAGUUUUGCCUAAAGUGAUCAAUAGGGCUGGUCGAAAUAUCUAAGAUUUGUCUUGGUUAUAACCAGUCUUAUUGCUAUCUGGGGAGGGAUUAGUAACUGGGAUGAAGUCGUAACAAGGUAGCCGUACGGGAACGUGUGGCUG